rnacentral:rRNA from 1 species
UGGGGAAUAUUGCACAAUGGGCGCAAGCCUGAUGCAGCCAUGCCGCGUGUAUGAAGAAGGCCUUCGGGUUGUAAAGUACUUUCAGCGGGGAGGAAGGGAGUAAAGUUAAUACCUUUGCUCAUUGACGUUACCCGCAGAAGAAGCACCGGCUAACUCCGUGCCAGCAGCCGCGGUAAUACGGAGGGUGCAAGCGUUAAUCGGAAUUACUGGGCGUAAAGCGCACGCAGGCGGUUUGUUAAGUCAGAUGUGAAAUCCCCGGGCUCAACCUGGGAACUGCAUCUGAUACUGGCAAGCUUGACUCUCGUAGAGGGGGGUAGAAUUCCAGGUGUAGCGGUGAAAUGCGUAGAGAUCUGGAGGAAUACCGGUGGCGAAGGCGGCCCCCUGGACGAAGACUGACGCUCAGGUGCGAAAGCGUGGGGAGCAAACAGG